rnacentral:rRNA from 1 species
GAUGAACGCUGGCGGCGUGCCUAAUACAUGCAAGUCGAGCGAACAGAUGAUGAGCUUGCUCCUCUGACGUUAGCGGCGGACGUGAGUGUAACACGUGUAUAACCUACUUAUCAGACUGGGAUCACUACGGAACACCGGAGCUAAUACCGUAUAAUAUAUUGAAGCGCAUGGGUCAUUAGUGAGAGUCGGUUUUGCUGUCACGUAUAGCUGGUUCCGCGCCUCUUUAGCUAGUUGGUACGGUAACGGCUUAUGAAGGCUACGAUGCGUGGCCGACCUGAGAGGCUGAUAGGCCACACUGGAACUGAGACACGGACAUGACUCCUGCGGGACGCAGCAGUAGGGAAUCUUCCGCAGAGGGGGAGAACCUGACGGAGCGACGGCACGCGAGAGGUGACGGCCUUGGGAGCGUAAAGCUCGGUUAUUGGGGAUGAACAGAUGUGUAAGUAACUGUGCACGUAGUGACGGUACUUGGUCAGAAAGCAACGGCUAACUACGUG